CACGAGUGAGCUGACCCUUUUU
rnacentral:miRNA from 1 species